GUUAAGGUAGCCAAGUUGGUCUAAGGCUCGCAGAAUUAAGGUUUUGUCCGAAAGAGCGUGGGUUCAAAUCUUACUCUCAACA
rnacentral:tRNA from 1 species